rnacentral:rRNA from 1 species
GUGGGGAAUAUUGGGCAAUGGGCGAAAGCCUGACCCAGCAACGCCGCGUGAAGGAAGAAGGUUUUCGGAUUGUAAACUUCUGUCCUCAGGGAAGAAGGAAGUGACGGUACCUGAGGAGGAAGCACCGGCUAACUACGUGCCAGCAGCCGCGGUAAUACGUAGGGGGCGAGCGUUGUCCGGAAUGACUGGGCGUAAAGGGCGCGUAGACGGCUGUCUAAGUCUGGAGUGAAAGUCCUGCUUUCAAGGUGGGAAUUGCUUUGGAGACUGGAUGGCUUGAGUGCGGAAGAGGUAAGUGGAAUUCCCAGUGUAGCGGUGAAAUGCGUAGAGAUUGGGAGGAACACCAGUGGCGAAGGCGACUUACUGGGCCGUAACUGACGUUGAUGCGCGAAAGCGUGGGGAGCGAACAGGAUUAGAAACCCGGGUAGUCC